AAGUUGGUGCCAAACUCAUUUUAAAAUUUCAAACAAUUUUAAAUAAUAAGUGAGACUAUUGUACCAUUUCUAAGGAUACAGAUAAAAAAAAGGUAUGUAUAGAAGUAUAUAGUUGUGUUGAAGUUUACUAAAUUCUAUCAAUAAAAUACAUUUAAAAAAAAACAAAACUUCAUGAAUGAAACUAUUAUCUAUUGUAUCUUAAUGUUCUAAUAACUAGUUU